UACGGGGGGGGCAAGCGUUGUUCGGAAUUACUGGGCGUAAAGGGCUCGUAGGCGGCCAACUAAGUCAGACGUGAAAUCCCUCGGCUUAACCGGGGAACUGCGUCUGAUACUGGAUGGCUUGAGAUUGGGAGAGGGAUGCGGAAUUCCAGGUGUAGCGGUGAAAUGCGUAGAUAUCUGGAGGAACACCGGUGGCGAAGGCGGCUAUCUGGACGACAACUGACGCUGAGACGCGAAAAGCGUGGGGAGCAAACAGG
rnacentral:rRNA from 1 species